UCCGUAGGUGAACCUGCGGAGGGAUCAUUACCGAGUUUACAACUCCCAAACCCCUGUGAACAUACCAAUUUGUUGCCUCGGCGGAUCAGCCCGCUCCCGGUAAAACGGAACGGCCCGCCAGAGGACCCCUAAACUCUGUUUCUAUAUGUAACUUCUGAGUAAAACCAUAAAUAAAUCAAAACUUUCAACAACGGAUCUCUUGGUUCUGGCAUCGAUGAAGAACGCAUCAAAAUGAGAUAAGUAAUGUGAAUUGCAGAAUUCAGUGAAUCAUCGAAUCUUUGAACGCACAUUGCGCCCGCCAGUAUUCUGGCGGGCAUGCCUGUUCGAGCGUCAUUUCAACCCUCAAGCCCCCGGGUUUGGUGUUGGGGAUCGGCGAGCCUCACGGCAAGCCGGCCCCGAAAUACAGUGGCGGUCUCGCUGCAGCUUCCAUUGCGUAGUAGUAAAACCCUCGCAACUGGUACGCGGCGCGGCCAAGCCGUUAAACCCCCAACUUCUGAAUGUUGACCUCGGAUCAGGUAGGAAUACCCGCUGAACUUAAGCAUAUCAAUAAGCGGAGGA
rnacentral:rRNA from 1 species